UACGGAGGGUGCGAGCGUUGUCCGGAAUCACUGGGCGUAAAGGGCGCGUAGGCGGCUUCUCAAGCGUGUGGUGAAAGUCCGGGGCUCAACCCCGGAUCGGCCGUGCGGACUGGGGAGCUCGAGUUCUGUAGAGGCGGGUGGAAUUCCGGGUGUAGCGGUGGAAUGCGUAGAGAUCCGGUAGAACACCGGUGGCGAAGGCGGCCCGCUGGGCAGAGACUGACGCUGAGGCACGAAAGCCAGGGGAGCAAACGGG
rnacentral:rRNA from 1 species